rnacentral:rRNA from 1 species
GAUGAACGCUAGCUACAGGCUUAACACAUGCAAGUCGAGGGGUAACGCGAGGGCGGCUUGCUUUCCUUGUCGACGACCGGCGCACGGGUGAGUAACGCGUAUCCAACCUGCCCCCAACUAGGGAAUAACCUUGCGAAAGUAAGACUAAUACCCUAUAAUUUCCUCAGAUGUCAUCUGACGAGGAAUAAAGUUUUAUCGGUUGGGGAUGGGGAUGCGUCUGAUUAGUUUGUUGGCGGGGUACCGGCACACCAAGGCAACGAUCAGUAGGGGUUCUGAGAGGAAGGUCCCCGACAUUGGAACUGAGACACGGUCCAAACUCCGACGGGGGCCAGCAGUGGGGAAUAUUGGUCAAUGGGCGGGAGCCUGAACCAGCCAAGUAGCGUGCAGGAUGACGGCCCUAUGGGUUGUAAACUGCUUUUAUACAGGAAUAAAGUUAGCCACGUGUGGUUAUUUGUAGGUACUGUAUGAAUAAGGACCGGCUAAUUCCGUGCCAGCCGCCGCGGUAA